GAGGCCUGAGAGCUGAGUUUGGAGGGAGAAGAUGCAGGAAGCUCUGCCAAUGAGCUGCCAGAGAACGGAGAGGGCGUGACAGGGCUAAGAAAAGGACGUCUGCACACUGAGGCUCGCUCAUGGAUGAGUGCUGGGCACAAGAAGGAGGAAGGCAGGGGUGGGGGGCAGCCGGCCCUGCACGCUGGGGAGGCGGGUCGGGUGGUUUGUGCCAGCGCAGGGCAUCUGAGUCUGGCAUGCACAGGGAUGGACUGCGGUGGCUUGACCCCAGGAGUCUGGUCUGGAUUUCCGUGGUUCCCAAGAUGUGACACUAUCCUGGCCCUUGGGACAAAAUCCAGCACUCUGGCCUGGCUCCUGCAGACCCACCACCCAGAUCAGACCCUUAGGGGAAACCAGGUUAAUUCUGGGGCAGCAUCUGGAGGAGGAAACAUGGAGGAACAGACCUCAGCCCACGGGGUCAGCCGCUAGCACGGGCCUGGGGGCAGGCGCAGGCUGCAGCCCCAGGAAAGUGCAGCCUCUGCACCCCGGAGCAGGGGGGCUCUCAAAGCAGUCCCCGCCACGCCCUGCAGGUGGCGCUCAGGCCCCAUGGACUCCGGGGUCUCACCAUCAACAAGUGCCCGGGCAGAGUCAGGAUGUGGCCCUUCUCACCUUAGUUUUAGGUCAAGUGAUGUGAUAGGGAGGGGGAACGAGAGGGCAGGCGCCAUCGGUGAAGUACCUGGGCUGCCGAGGGGGCGACCAACCCCACACAGGAGGGGCACUGGCUGCUGGUGCUCUACGCAGGCCCCUCUCGGAGACUCAGGCCCUUUUGUGAAGAGCCUCCGCCCUGCCCCGUGUCCAGGAAAGCCACCUGCGAGGACCCUGCCCCAUGGAGUGUCCCCUCGUGGUGCUGACGUCCUUGUCUUUGGUGUGUGCUGUAUACCCACAGCAAGGUCUGCAGGCUUCACCAGAUUCACAUUAAAUACCUUAGUGAGAGUGUUUUAAAACGGGGACCUUGAGGCAGGGUGUCCCCAAGUCCCAGCCCUGCCAGCUUUGGGGGAAAGGCUCUGGGCCCCAUUCC
rnacentral:lncRNA from 1 species